rnacentral:rRNA from 1 species
UACGUAGGGGGCAAGCGUUGUCCGGAUUUAUUGGGCGUAAAGCGCUCGCAGGUGGUUCGUCGCGUCGUGCGUGAAAGACCCCGGCUCAACUGGGGAGUGUCACGCGAUACUGAUCGACUCGAAGGCAGGAGAGGGUAGUGGAAUUCCCGGUGUAGUGGUGAAAUGGACGUAGAUAUCUGGAGGAACACCGGUGGCGAAGGCGGCAUCCUGGACCGGCAUUGACGCUGAGGCGGCGAAAGCC